AGCUCCUGGCUGGUACUGGCUUACACCUCUUGGCUGCUGUUGGCUUGCAGCUCUUGGCUGCUGCUGGCUUGCAGCUCUUGGCUGGUGCCGGCUUGGGUGGGUGCGCUGGUGCCGGCUUCCAGGCCUUGGCUGGUGCCGGCUUGGGUGGUUGCAGUCCUGCCGGCUUCCUGCCCAUGGCUUGUGCCGGGUUCCAGGCCAAGCUGGUGCCGUCUUGGGUGGGUGUGCUGGUGCCGGCUACCAGGCCUGGGCCGGUGCUGGAUUCCAGCCCUUGGCUGGUGCCAGCUUGGGUACGUGCACUUCCGCCGGCUUCCAGGCCGUGGCUGGUGCCGGCUUCCAGCCCUUGGCUGGUGCAGGUUUCCAGCCAUUGGCUGGUGCCAGCUUCCAUCCCUUGGCUGGUGCUGGCUUGUGUGGGUGCGCUUGUGCCGGCUUCCACGCCUUGCCUGGUGCCAGCUUGGGUGGGUGCGCUGGUGCGGGCUUGGCCGGGUGCGCUGGUGCCAGCUUCCAGGCCUCGGCUGGUGCCGGCUUGGGUGGGUGCGCUGGUGUCGUCUUGGUUGGGUUCUCUGGUGCCGGCUUCCAGGCCUUGGCUGGUGCCGGCUUCCAUCCCUUGGGUGGUGCUGGCUUCGGUGGGCGCGCUGCUGCCAGCUUCCCGGACUUGGCUGGUCCGGCCUGGGUGGGUGCGAUUGUGCUGGCUUCCAGGCCUUGCCUGGUGCUGGCUUGGGUGGGCGCGCUCGUGCCGGCUUCCAGCUCUUGGCUGGUGCCAGCUUCAGUGAGUGGGCUGGUACUGACUUGCAAACCUUGGCUGCUGCCGGAUUCCAGCCAUUGGCUGGUGCCACCUUCCAUCCCUUGGCUUGUGCAGGCUUGGGUGGGUGCGCUGCUGCCGGCUUCCAGGCCGUGGCUGGUGCUGACUUGGACGGGUGCACUCCUCCUGGCUUCCAGCCUGUGGCUUGUGCCGGCUUCCAGCCUGUGGCUUGUGCCGGCUUGGAUGGGUGCGCUGGUGCCGGCUUGGAUGGGUGCGCUGGAGCUGGCUUGGGUGGGUGCAGUCCUGCUGGCUUUCAGCCCAUGCCUUCUGCCGGCUUCCAGGCCAAGCUGUUGCCGGCUUGGGUGGGUCUGCUGGUGCCAGCUUCCAGGCCUUGGCUAGUGCUGGCUUCAAGCCCUUGGCUGAUGCUGGCUUGUGUGGGUGCGCUGGUGCCACCUUCCAGGACUUGGCUGGUGCCGGCUUCCAGGCCGUGGCUGGUGCCGGCUUCCAGCCCUUGGCUGGUGCCAGCUUGGUUGGGUGCAUUGGUUCCGGCUUCCAGGACUUGGCUGGUGCCGGCUUCCAGGCCUUGGCUGGUUCCGGCUUCCACAGCUUGGCUGUUGCCGGCUUCGAGGCCUUGCCUGGUGCCGGCUUCCAGACAUCGGUUGGUUCCGGCUUCCAGGCCUUGGCUGCUGCCGGCUUGGUUGAGUGCGCUGGUACCGGCUUCCAGCUCUUGGCUGGUGCCGGCUUGGGUGAGUGCGCUGCUGCCGGCUUCCUGCUCUUUGCUGAUGCCGGCUUCCAGCUCUUUGCUGGUGCCGUCUUGGGUGAGUGUACUGGUCCCGAUUUCCAGCUCUUGGUUGGUGCCUGCCUGGGUGAGUGCGCUGGUGCCGGCUUGGGUGAGUGCACUGUUGCUUAUUCUAUCACCUUCCCAGGAACCCGUGAUGUUAAGCGUUAUGUGCUCACCAUGGUGGAGGCAACCACUGGGUGGCUCGAAACAUAUGCAGUACCCCAUGCUACCUCCCAAAACACUGUAUGAGGUCUGGAGAAACAAGUCCUGUGGUGACACGGCACUCCAGAAAGAACUGAGUCAGACAAUGGGACUCAUUUCAAAAAUUCUCUUGGAAGUACUUGGGCCAAAGAUCAUGGCUUUGAGUGGAUUUAUCAUAUCCCCUAGCAUGCACCAGCUUCUGGUAAAAUCGAACGAUACAAUGGGUUGUUACAAACUAGGUUGA
ensembl:lncRNA